CAGAAAAGGAACACGGGGAUAAUCGAGACCCUAGAGAGAGAUAAAAACGGAAAGAAGUCUAACCUGUGACUGGGAAGGAUGUUGGGCGCUCCGGACUACCUGAAGAUUCAACAGAUCAGAUCCUGACGAACACUGAUACAAAGAAUCAUGCUGCUGUGGAAAGUACAGGAAGAACAAGAAGAUAUUACCCAACACAUUCCCACAGGUCACUGCAGCUUUCCUCACCACCAAUUGUCAUGGAUUUCCUGUGCCAGCAGCAGUUGAAGUUGGGUGGAAGCAGCAGCAGUACAAGAGUGGCUGAAAUUGAUGAAUGAACAGGGGCAGCAGACAGGGGAAGCAGUGUGCUGGGAGCAAGAGGAGGAAAGGGAAGGGGAAGAGGAAGGCAUGAGGCACCAGACACUGCCCUGGGAAAGAAAAAAAGAAGAAAGUCAACAGCUCUUUCUGGGUAACUGACAUUUUCAAGGCCUGCAAUUAAUCAUAUCACAGGAGCA